ensembl:lncRNA
AAACAUUCCAAUAAGGCAGAUUGUGCAUGCAUGUGUGUGUGUGUGUGUGUGUGAUAGAGAGGAAAAGAUUUCUGUGCCUGUUGAGUUAAAUACUCUGAAUAAUUUCAGCGCCAUCUCUGCAUGCUCAGCAUCUCUAGAUCAGGCAUCUCAUUUAACACACACACACACACACACACACGCACACAAAACAGAAAGAAGUGGGUGGCUUUUCUAACCUUAUUGGAAAUUGAAUGCAAAGACAACUUACAAAGUGGAAUGAAAUCCAAGGACUGAGCAGUUUAAGACCUCAACUGAAGCAAUUCAGUUGGGUCCUGUGAGUACUACAAACAUUAGUCCCAAACCAAUCAGUUAAAUACGAAUGCUAAACUCAGUAAAAGAGAAACAUGGCUGAAUUCAAAUGCACACCAAGAUAGACAAUAGUUACAGUCAUUGACUGAGUCUUCAGAAGUUUCCUGAAGGAUCUAGGUAAAUCUGUAUACCCAGAUAUCCUGCCGCAUUUAGGACUGAAGACACUUUGCACAAUCGUACAGAUGCAUGUACAUGUUGGAAAUCAUUUACAUUAGGAAUAAGGACUUUUUCCUGCAUCGUUCUCCCAAAUUUGGUCACCUGCCAAUUCGCAGCCAGCUCUCCCCUAGCACACACGACACCUACCAAUUGUCUCGGAGGGUUCCUCUGAGACGUAUGACGCCGGGCAACCACAUCUUUUUGAAAUACUGCACAUGCAAUGCCACAGGACAGGCAUAGGAAAGUGUAAUCUACCCUCUUCCAGAUACAUAAGUGAUGUGACAUGACAUGAGUGACAAGGGAGUACAAGUAUGCCCCUCCCACCCAGAAGGCCAAUUUUGCUCCCGUAGCAAGCGAAAAUCAUCCGGAUUUGAACUUCCGAUCUCCCGACUAUACGGCGAACACUUUUCUGUUGCACCAUCCAGGAGCCACAGUUACGUUGCCAAGUUAUGUAAAAUGUUGCAGUGUCACAUGGGGUGUCUUCUGUCAGUUAAUAUAAAACAUGUUCAUGGCAGAUGGCAAGGUGGUUCAGUGGUGUCUAAGUGUGGAUUCCGCCAGUUUCCUCCCUGGUAGGUGGCAUGGCUGCUUAGAAUUUCCCCUAUGUGUGUGUGUGGUGCACCAAGCUUGACUGGCAUCCCAGUCUUGGUGUAUUCUAGCCUCAUGUUCAGACACUACAACACUGACCA